UAGGGGGCAAGCGUUAUCCGGUUUCACUGGGUGUAAAGGGAGCGUAGACGGCCAUGCAAGCCAGGAGUGAAAGCCCGGGGCCCAACCCCGGGACUGCUCUUGGAACUGUGCGGCUGGAGUGCGGGAGGGGCAGGCGGAAUUCCUGGUGUAGCGGUGAAAUGCGUAGAUAUCAGGAGGAACACCGGCGGCGAAGGCGGCCUGCUGGACCGCGACUGACGUUGAGGCUCGAAAGCGUGGUGAGCGA
rnacentral:rRNA from 1 species